rnacentral:rRNA from 1 species
AUUAAGACUCUCGGCAACGGAUAUCUCGGCUCUUACAUCGAUGAAGAACGUAGCGAAAUGCGAUACUUGGUGUGAAUUGCAGAAUCCCGUGAACCAUCGAGUCUUUGAACGCAAGUUGCGCCCGAGGCCUUCGGGYCGAGGGCACGCCUGCCUGGGCGUCACGCCUCGC